UGGGGAAUAUUGGACAAUGGGGGAAACCCUGAUCCAGCAAUGCCGCGUGAGUGAUGAAGGCCUUAGGGUUGUAAAGCUCUUUUGCCCGGGAAGAUAAUGACUGUACCGGGAGAAUAAGACCCGGCUAACCCCGUGCCAGCAGCCGCGGUAAUACGGAGGGGGCUAGCGUUGUUCGGAAUGACUGGGCGUAAAGCGCACGUAGGCGGCUUUGUAAGUUAGAGGUGAAAGCCCGGGGCUCAACCCCGGAACUGCCUUUAAGACUGCAUCGCUUGAACGUCGGAGAGGUGAGUGGAAUUCCGAGUGUAGAGGUGAAAUUCGUAGAUAUUCGGAAGAACACCAGUGGCGAAGGCGGCUCACUGGACGACUGUUGACGCUGAGGUGCGAAAGCGUGGGGAGCAAA
rnacentral:rRNA from 1 species